GGCAGAAGAGACUUUAAGAACCUGAGUUUUUUGUGAUCUUGAGUGCCGCCUCCCAUUUCACAGUUAAAGAAACUGAGGCCAGCUCCAGCUGUGCCCUCCUGCCCUGCUUUUCUACCCGCCUGUCCAGAGGGCCCCUCUUCUCCAUCUCUCCUGUCCUCUGCCUGGCUCCAGGAGGAUGCCCCUGCUCCCCUUCUCCUUCCAUAGCCCUCCCAGACAGUCUGACCCCUGGCCUGGCUGCCCCGUGUCAAAGGGAGUUGAUCCUCUGACUUCCUGCAGCCCAGAAAGCCUGCUGGUCUGCUCUCGGGGAAAUCCCAAGACCCCAGCACAGGAAAAAUCACAGCCGGCAACCCUUCGCUCCCUGACCUCAUCUCCACAAAGCUCGGCCCCUAAUUGCCUCCGGCUUCCACCGCAGCCGCCCGGGCAGGAACCACCUGUGAACCGACACCUGUUCACCGAUUCUGCAAAUUAUGUACCAGACCUCGUUCCUGCCCUGGGAGGAUGACAGUGAACUGGAUGCACGAAGUCCUUGCCGGCAUGAAGCCCGCAUUCUGGAGGGAGUGCUAGGGCGAUGGGUCUCAGCACUUUUUAUUUUAUGAAUAAGUGACUCUUUAUGGUAAGGAGUGAACAGAGGUUUAAAGUUUUGAGCACUGUAGUAACAUAAGCUAUUAAAACACAUAUGCUGCAGACACUUUUUUCUAUAAGGAAAGGAAAUUGCAAAGAGCACUUUUAACAGUUUCCUGGGUAAAUUUAAAGAUGUCUUGGGGGAAUGCAGGACUCUGGAUUGCGUCUCCGCUCUUGCGAGGGAAAUCAGGUGUGGCACACUCGCUUGAACGCAUGAGAUGGUUCUGUUCUCAUUUUCUCUCCCUCUUUUGCAGGCAAGCUUAGCUUUCUGCGAGAUGAGUGCAGAGGCGAUGGGCCCCACUGUCGUAGGGGGUCACCAAGAAACCAAAAGUACAACAGAGUUGUGCCUGAUUAUGGGGGUUUCUGUGUCUGCUGGAAAGCCUGAAUCCACAGCCCUGGGCCAGCGUCUCCCCUGAGGCCCAAGUCCGCUCCCGGGUGUCGCCCAGGAGAUCCCGCAUAUCCAGAAGGGGGCUCCUCACCUCCCAAACCUCUUCCUCUUUCCUGUUACUGUAGUGAACCAGCACCCCACUUGCUCAAGGGGAGCAGCUUCGCGCCGGCCUCGACUCCUGUCUGUGUCACGCCCACAGCAAAUCAACGUUCAGAGCCUAAGCUUUCUUCCUCCAGACUCAGGUCCUUCCCCUCUCUCCAUUCCUCCUGCCCCCGCCCUCAUCCUAGUCACCAUCUCCUCUGUCCCAGACUAUCACCACAGCCUUUUCAUCCUUCCCUCCAUCCAACCUCGACUUCCGGUCCAGUUUCUCCCCUGCAGGGACUGAGGUCUUGCAAAAUGCACUUCAGCUUUAUCCUGCCACGGGAUCCUGGUGCUUUUAGGGUGAUGUUAAAAUUCCAAAUGGAAACCUGCCUGCUCCUUCUGUAAAGCUCAGCCGUGUAAGGCAUAGUAUCCAGAAAACACCGGCAGAUGACUAAAAGGGGAAAGAAGAAAAGAAAUAGCUGUUUAAUUCUUACUGAAUUCUCUCUAAAAGGAAUGAGUUAUUCCAUAGCACAUGGGAAAACAGCUCAAAUCCCCCCUAGUAGCUGGCGCAAAGAUGCCUGCCCCCCACCCCCAGCCCCCUAACCUUUGCCCAGCUCACCAGCGGCUGGCAGCUCUGCUCUUCCUCUAAGCCCUGCCAUGCAGUCACCAGGUCAUGGAUUCUAGAACUUAAGCAAAGGGCAGGUCCUUAGCCAGAGUCCCUGGGAAAGAGCCUUACUCAUGCAUCCUGCCUCUUUUCUCGGACCUCUGUGACCCCCACCCAUGCCGCCUUCUGACUUGAUUAGAUUUUGCUUGGGUUCUAACGCUAACGAUCCUUGAACUUAAUGGGAAUCCUGAAUUCUUUUUACAUUUUUCCCCAUCUCUUCGGGCCCCAAACCUUCUAGCCUUUCAAAUGAAAUCAGGUUGAAUGGUGGCAUCUCUCAUAGCUUUGUCUGACCACACUGUCAACCGCUAACGUGAUUCUCCUGCCGUCGCAGAAACAACCGCGUCCUAAAGUGUCAACUCAUUGCCCCAGAGGAGCAUUUAUUCUGACAGCCGAGCCUUUUCACCCCACCCCUACAAUCUCAGUUCUCAACUUUGACCCACUUUAACUUUGCACGUCACGAAUUUCUUCUUCCAAGGACUCGAGGAAGCAAAGCUGAAUGAAUCGGGCAGCCAUGAAUUUUGUGCAGAUGGAGAGAAGAGAGGGUGGGGAGGUGGGGGCUGGCUGGAGAAGCUUGCUGUGGACAGGGGAUUAUCUCUCAUCAGCAGAUACGUCCAUUUCCACCCCCCGUAAAGACUGUGCCAGACUGAAAGCCAGAGGCCCCCAGUGUGAUCCCAACGACAGAGGUGUAUGUGGGUAUGUUUGUGUUAUGAACCCUCCCUGAAAACUUUGGGCCAUGUUUCAUCUUUACAGGCACAACUAUUCAUUCAGAGCCAGCCCGUCUGGCUGUGUGUUUUUCUUGGUUGGAAUUAUUAACUCCACUUCCUGUUGUCUGGAGACAUGCGGGUUGUGGAGAGGAAUCUUGAGUGGAUGGAUGGCAAAGAUGACAAAUGAACCACUGUUGCCACGUGAGUUAGAAUUAAUGCUCUGGUCUUUGAGUUUAUUAGAGUGAAUGGCUAUGGGGUCUUAAACUGAGAUAUAAAUAUUUGAAGUGUGGAGCAUUAUUUGGCCGAGACUUGGAGAAAUACGUAAAUGAAAAGAGAGCAUACGAUAACUUGUGCUCAUUCUUCAGGGUUUUAAGUGAGUUCCACUUCUGGCUUUUUGGAUUGAAUAGGUAGUUUGAACCAAUAAUCCCAAUGAAAACAACUAUAAAAUGGAUCAAAUGUCUUCUAAUAUUGUUAAAAGGAAUGGGAGCCCUAACAAGGUGGUGAAAUGGUAUGGAGGAAGAUCCAGAAGAUGAUGGAAGUCUGGAGAGGUCUGGUCAGCAUUGAGUGCUGCCCUGUCUGCUGCUUCAGGAAGAGGAGGAAAUGGAGCUCCCAGUUCUUUACAGGAUUUUUUCCUGGGAAGCUGAAGUGCUUUAAAAAAUACUCAAUCAUCACUAUCAGCUUUUCCCAAAAUUCAAUAGGAGCUUUGAUCUACGCUCACGUUUGUGGUAGACACACUCGAGAAGUGGCCCCCGUGACUCCCUUCCCCAGUCCUGGAGUUCACACCCUCGAGUGUGGGAAGACCUGGGACUUCUUCUAACCAACCGACCACCACACAGAUGGCCAGAUGUGCAAGGUUACAGCCACAUAAGACUUUAGCAUCAGUUUGGCUGGAGUCUCGCUCUCUCUGCCUUGCUGGCUUUGAGGACGCAAGUGAUCCUCUUGGAUAACCCCGUGUGGCAGGAACUGGAGGGUGCCUCUGGGGCAGAAGGGGGGCCCGGCUAACAGCCAGUGAGAAACUGAAGUCUUCAGUCAAAUGCUUGCAAGAAACUGAAUUCUUCCCACAACCGGGGUAGGCUUGGAAAUGAUCCUCCUGCAGGCAAACCUCAGAUGAGAACACAGCCCGUCCGACACCCAGAUUCCUGCCUGGCUGAGACUCUAAACAGAGAAUCCAUCUAAGCUGUCCCUGGACUCUAUUUCUUAUUGACACAUGAAAAAGCUCAUGGGAGACUGUGUUUCUAAAAUUGGAACAGAAUAACCAUACCAAGUACUGGCAAGGAUGUGGAUCAAGGGCAACGAUCAAGGGCAACGCUCACACACCGCUUGGGGAGACGCAAAAGUGUACAGCCCCUCUGGGAAACAGGGCUACCGUUUCUUAAAGGUUAAACAUUAAAGCAACAGUGAGAUACCCCUCUACUCUUAUUAAAAUGGCCCAAAUCUGAGACAAUGACAGCAUCACAGCUGGCAAGGGUGUGGAGCAACAGGAACUCUCGUUCGCUGGUGGUGGGAAUGCAAAAUGUGCAGCUACUUUGGAAGACAGUUUUUGGUGUUUUUUACAAACUUAACAUAAUCUUAACAUAGGAUCCGGCACCCACGGUAUUUACCUUGGUAUUUACCCAAAUGAGCUGAAAAUGUGUCCACACAAAAACCUGCACACAAAUGUUUAGAGCAGAUUUAUUCAUAAUUGCUCAAACUUGGGAGCAACCAACGCACCCUCCAGUAGGUGAAUGAAUAAAUAAACUCUGGUACAUUGAAACAGUGGAAUAUUAUUCAAUGCUAAAAAGAAAUGCGCUAUCAAGCUAGGAAAAAACGCAGAGAAAUCUUAAAUAAAUAUCACUAAGUGAAAGAAGCCAGUAUGAAAAGGCUACAUGUAUGUCCCACAACCCAGAUGCCCCUCAGCGGGUGAGUAGACACACUGUGGCCCGUCCGCACCACGGAACACCUCCCAGCAAUAAACAGGAGCAGCUGCUGGGGUGUGCCACAGCCUGGAUGGGCAGAAAAAGCUUAGGGAAAGAAGCCAGGUUGGAAAGGCUUCUGGCUGUAUGAUUUGCUUUAUAUGAUAUUCUCAAAUAGACAAAAUUAUAGCGAUGGGGAGCAAGUCGGGGGCUGCCGGGGACUGGCAAUGGAAAGGUGUGACCCUGAAGGGGCGGCAGGAGGGGGCUUCUGGAAUGAGA
ensembl:lncRNA